rnacentral:rRNA from 2 species
UACGGAGGGUGCAAGCGUUAUCCGGAUUCACUGGGUUUAAAGGGUGCGUAGGCGGGCAUGUAAGUCAGUGGUGAAAUCUCAGAGCUUAACUCUGAAACUGCCAUUGAUACUAUGUGUCUUGAAUUUCCUGGAGGUUAGCGGAAUAUGUCAUGUAGCGGUGAAAUGCUUAGAUAUGACAUAGAACACCGAUUGCGAAGGCAGCUGACUACGGGUAGAUUGACGCUGAGGCACGAAAGCGUGGGGAUCAAACAGG